AGUGAACGCUGGCGGUAGGCCUAACACAUGCAAGUCGAACGGCAGCACAGUAAGAGCUUGCUCUUACGGGUGGCGAGUGGCGGACGGGUGAGGAAUACAUCGGAAUCUACUUUUUCGUGGGGGAUAACGUAGGGAGACUUACGCUAAUACCGCAUACGACCUACGGGUGAAAGCAGGGGAUCUUCGGACCUUGCGCGAUUGAAUGAGCCGAUGUCGGAUUAGCUAGUUGGCGGGGUAAAGGCCCACCAAGGCGACGAUCCGUAGCUGGCCUGAGAGGAUGAUCAGCCACACUGGAACUGAGACACGGUCCAGACUCCUACGGGAGGCAGCAGUGGGGAAUAUUGGACAAUGGGCGCAAGCCUGAUCCAGCCAUACCGCGUGGGUGAAGAAGGCCUUCGGGUUGUAAAGCCCUUUUGUUGGGAAAGAAAAGCAGCAGGUUAAUACCCCGCUGUUCUGACGGUACCCAAAGAAUAAGCACCGGCUAACUUCGUG
rnacentral:rRNA from 1 species